UACGUAGGUGGCAAGCGUUGUCCGGAUUUACUGGGCGUAAAGGGCGUGCAGGCGGUUUGUUAAGUUCAGGGUGAAAGCUCCCGGCUCAACUGGGAGAGGUCCUUGGAUACUGGCAGACUUGAGGAGGGUAGAGGAGAGUGGAAUUCCCGGUGUAGCGGUGAAAUGCGUAGAGAUGUGGAGGAACACCGAUGGCGAAGGCAGCCUCCUGGGCCAGCACUGACGCUCAUGCACGAAAGCGUGGGGAGCAAACAGG
rnacentral:rRNA from 1 species